CCUACGGGAGGCUGCAGUGGGGAAUAUUGCACAAUGGGGGAAACCCUGAUGCAGCAACGCCGCGUGAAGGAAGACGGUUUUCGGAUUGUAAACUUCUGUUCUUAGUGAAGAAUAAUGACGGUAGCUAAGGAGCAAGCCACGGCUAACUACGUGCCAGCAGCCGCGGUAAUACGUAGGUGGCAAGCGUUGUCCGGAAUUACUGGGUGUAAAGGGAGCGCAGGCGGGAAGCCAAGUCAGCUGUGAAAACUAUGGGCUUAACUUGUAGACUGCAGUUGAAACUGGUUUUUGUGAGUGAAGUAGAGGUUGGCGGAAUUCCGAGUGUAGCGGUGAAAUGCGUAGAUAUUCGGAGGAACACCGGUGGCGAAGGCGACCAACUGGGCUUUAACUGACGCUGAGGCUCGAAAGUGUGGGGAGCAAACAGGAUUAGAUACCCGAGUAGUC
rnacentral:rRNA from 1 species